UACAGAGGUCUCAAGCGUUGUUCGGAUUCAUUGGGCGUAAAGGGUGCGUAGGCGGCGCGGUAAGUCGGGUGUGAAAUCUCGGAGCUUAACUCCGAAACUGCAUUCGAUACUGCCGUGCUUGAGGACUGGAGAGGAGACUGGAAUUUACGGUGUAGCGGUGAAAUUCGUAGAUAUUCGCAAGAACACCAGUGGCGAAGGCGGCUCACUGGCCCGAUACUGACGCUGAGGCACGAAAGCGUGGGGAGCAAACAGGG
rnacentral:rRNA from 1 species